GCGCCGCAUGAAGUCGAACACACCUAGAGAGAUCGGAAGAUUGCUCCUUGGAUUUUAACGAAGGUCAAGGGUCAUAGCAAGCGCGAUCGCCCCAGUGCAUUCCAUGUUGGUGAAUGCUGACACGUGUACACGUGAACUUUGUUGCAGUCAGUGGGACCACUGAGAACAGCAUUUUCAAGAGCGCAGGCAUUCAAGCAAAUGUUCAAGUACAUAGAGCCUAAAAAGCGUACCCCUGACAGUUACGAUUCUGCUGUUUGUGAUCUACAAACUGAAGACAUUCAGGACUAUAAAGGCAUAAAGAAAUGACUGACUCAGAAAGGACAUUUCUACACACCACCAUCACUGACAUCUUGCCUGACCUUCCAGAGGUGACCAAACAUAUUUUAGAAGAUACCUUGCAGUCUCUUGGUGUGGAGACAAGGGAUGACUUUAGGUUUAUUGAAGAAGCUGAUUUG